rnacentral:rRNA from 1 species
GAUGAACGCUAGCGGCAGGCUUAAUACAUGCAAGUCGAGGGGCAUCAAGGUACACGAAAGUGUAUUGUUGGCGACCGGCGGACGGGUGAGUAAUAGGUAGGUAACCUACCUCAUACUGAGGCAUAGCUGGGAGAAAUUCCAGGUAAUUCCUCAUGAGGUUAUAUGACACAUGUGAUAUAAUCAAAGGUAUCGCAAGGUACUGGUAUGAGAUGGGCUUACUGACCAUUAGCUAGUUGGUGAGAUAAGAGCUCACCAAGGCGAAGAUGGUUAGGGGUUUUGAGAGAGAGAUCCCCCACAUUGGAACUGAGAUACGGUCCAGACUCCUACGGGAGGCAGCAGUAGGGAAUAUUGGGCAAUGGGCGGAAGCCUGACCCAGCCAUGCCGCGUGAAGGAAGACGGCCUUAGUGGGUUGUAAACUUCUUUACUAUGCGACUAACUAGAUUUACGAGAUAAUUCUAUAGAAUGUAGCAUAGCAAAAAGCACGGA